AGGAGGUUGCCAACCCGCAGGGGGAGCCAAUCCCAGAAAACCGAUCGUAGUCCGGAUUGUAGUCUGCAACUCGACUGCAUGAAGUCGGAAUCGCUAGUAAUCGCGGAUCAGCAUGUCGCGGUGAAUACGUUCCCGGGCCUU
rnacentral:rRNA from 1 species